UUCGUCCGCCCCCUUCGCACGGGAAGAGAAAGAAGCUGCUGGGUUUAGCCGAGGUCUGGUACGAGCGGCAGUUCAACCAGGGCAACGCCCAACAUGCAGUAGAGGUCCUCUGCAGACCGCUACUACAUCAUCCACAGCCUGAAGUGCGCGGGACUAUGGCUCGCCGUCUAGCAAUGCGUCAGGGAGAGCGUGAGGACGGAAUUGAGUGGGAGGAUCUCGUUCCUAUUGAGGCUAAACACAUCAGUGACCAGUACAAAAUGUUGGGCUUGCGCAUUGUCACCCACCAGCCAACGCCCUGUCAAGACCUGGAGGGUCACGUGGUCUGGAAGGGAACCACGACGCACGGGAACGUGGCUGUCA